AAAUAAAUUAACUUGGUAACAUCACCUAGCUUUCAAGCAGACAACUGGUCAGUUUACUUCCUGGUUUGGUUAGCUCAGCUGAGCUAAACUCCAUAGGCAGUCAAUAGCCCAGAGCACCUGCCUUGCAAGGAAUACUCAGCUGCAUUUGAAAGUCUGUGAUUGGACAGCUACAGAAAGCCUGGGCGGGGGAUAGAAGGGGAGUGCUUGCAAAGACGGCAGACAAGAACUGCUGGUUCUGCAAGCUGUUAGAUAUUGCCCCAAUGAAAAAAUGCACAAAUUAAAUGCAUGUAUGUUUUCAUUGGGGGUAAAUCGUCUAAACAGAGAUUUUUAUUUGUUUAUUUUUUUAUUUUAUUCUAUAUUUUAAUUUUUUGGGGGGG